AGAACAGCCAAACGAUACGGUACUGAGUUCGCAUAAGUGCACACGUAGUGUCAUAGCACAUCGUAACCAGGACCCCUUUUUGUUUACCGAUUUGUUAUUUUGGAGUUCGGAGGACGUGAGGCGUUACGAAUCCGGAGGCAAACCUACCGCUACACAAGGCAAGCCCCGGAAGGCCUCAGCUCAACCGGGUACGAUACUUACCACCACAGGCAGCCGUUAACGCCGUGUGGUCCGAAGGUUGCGGAACGUCCGGGUAGAAAAGAAGAAGCCGCGCUGAAGACCGACCGAACGACUUACCCCGCGCCGCUGUGCAGUCCGGAAAGGAGAGCGGAAGCGAGGAAGUGUGGAGGCAGCUACCCAAGGUGACCCUAUCAGCUUCAACAAAGGAAACUGAUACUAAACCCCCAAAACAUCAGAGUCCCAACUGUGCUACAGCCAAUUUUCUGCUGUCUUAUCGCACCAGCCGUUUCCGUCGUCGGGGGAAUCGUCGAAAAUUAACCAGUAUUUGGAAGUUGA